rnacentral:rRNA from 1 species
AGAGUUUGAUCCUGGCUCAGGACGAACGCUGGCGGUGUGCUUCACACAUGCAAGUCGAGCGGAUGAAAACAGUAGCUUGCUACUGUUGGAUUUAGCGGCGGACGGGUGAGUAAUAUAUAGGAAUCUGCCCUAAUGCGGGGAACAACAGACCGAAAGGUCUGCUAAUGCCCCAUAGGUAUGCAGUCUUCGGAUUGUAUAUUAAAGGAGUAAUCCACUUUAGGAUGAGCCUGUAUCCGAUUAGCUUGUUGGCGGGGUAAUGGCCCACCAAGGCUACGAUCGGUAGUUGGUCUGAGAGGAUGAUCAGCCACAAUGGGACUGAGACACGGCCCAUACUCCUACGGGAGGCAGCAGUGGGGAAUUUUACACAAUGGGGGAAACCCUGAUGUAGCGACACCGCGUGAACGAAGAAGCCUUUUGGGGUGUAAAGUUCUGUCGGCUGGAACGAAAAAAAUGACGGUACCAGCAAAGGAAGCAUCGGCUAACUACGUGCCAGCAGCCGCGGUAAGACGUAGGAUGCAAGCGUUGUCCGGAUUUAUUGGGCGUAAAGAGUUCGUAGGCGGUUAUUUAAGUCUGAUGUUAAAUACUGUGGCCCAACCACAGAACUGCAUUGGAUACUGGAUGACUUGAGUGCGGUAGAGGCAAGUGGAAUUCCCAGUGUAGCGGUGAAAUGCGUAG